GACGAACGCUGGCGGCGUGCUUAACACAUGCAAGUCGAACGGAAAGGCCCUGCUUUUGUGGGGUGCUCGAGUGGCGAACGGGUGAGUAACACGUGAGUAACCUGCCCUUGACUUUGGGAUAACUUCAGGAAACUGGGGCUAAUACCUGAUAGGAGCUCCUGCUGCAUGGUGGGGGUGGGAAAUUUUCGGCGGUUGGGGAUGGACUAGCGGCUUAUCAGCUUGUGGGUGGGGUAGUGGCUUACCAAGGCUUUGACGGGUAGCCGGCCUGAGAGGGUGACCGGCCACAUUGGGACUGAGAUACGGCCCAGACUCCUACGGGCGGAAGCAGUGGGGAAUAGUCCACAAUGGGCGGAAGCCUGAUGCAGCACCGCCGCGUGCGAGAUGACGGCCUUCGGGUUGUAAACCGCUUUCGCCUGUGACGAAGCGUGAGUGACGGUAAUGGGUAAAGAAGCACCGGCUAACUACGUG
rnacentral:rRNA from 1 species